rnacentral:lncRNA from 1 species
GAAAAAUCAGCAUGAUCAGAAAAGAAUAAACCCAAGGAGGGAGUGCCUUUUAGAUAUCUCAAUACAUGCAGGGCAGCAGUCAUAUGGGGAAGUCUUGGGGACUUAAUAAAUUGACUCAGAUGUUGAACUGCAUAACAAAUAUCAGGCCUGGUAUGAGUCAAGAAAAGCAUUUUGCCAACAAGGCUCCUGUACUGAUCAGGAGAGGGUUAAAGAUCACCAGAAUCAACAUGUAACUUGACAUUGAUGUCCAAAGGAGACACAACAGAGGACACAUUUACACAGUCAAAUUGCUGCAACAAAUCAGAGACAUAUUUGUGCUGAUUAAGGUGCAUCCCACCUGGGACAGGAGACACUUCAAGACCCAAAAAAUAAUGCAAGGACCCAAGAUCCUUGAUUUUAAACUGAGCAUCCAGAAAUGCUUUAAAGCAGUCAAUUCAUCAUUGUCAUCCCCAGUUAAAAUGAUAUCAUCCACAUACACAGCAACUACCACAAAAGAACCAGGUUUACCCUUGAGAAACAAAGAGAAUGAUAUCAUCCACAUACACAGCAACUACCACAAAAGAACCAGGUUUGCCUUUGAGAACCAAAGAGUAAUCAUUGAGAGAAUGAUGAUAACCUCUGGAAUAAAGAGCAGAAGAUAGCUUGGCAUACCACUGCCUAGAGGCUUGCCUUAACCCAUACAAAGAUUUUUUGAGUUUGCAAACCAAAGGAGGAGAAGGAGAAGAAAGAGAACCAGAAUCAGUAGAAAUAGUCAAACCAGGAGGAAGUUUCAUAUAAACAUCUUCAUCCAAAUCACCAUGAAGAAAAGCAUUAUUCACAUCCAACUGAAAUAGAGGCCAGUUGUUUUUGACAGCCACAGCAAUGAGACACUUGACAGAAGUCAUCUUUAUCACAGGGGAAAAAGUUUCAGUAAAGUCAAUCCCCUCAACUUGAGUGUCACCCCUUAUG